GAUGAAGAACGUAGCGAAAUGCGAUAAGUAAUGUGAAUUGCAGAAUUCAGUGAAUCAUCGAAUCUUUGAACGCACAUUGCGCCCCCUGGUAUUCCGGGGGGCAUGCCUGUUCGAGCGUCAUUUCACCACUCAAGCCUCGCUUGGUAUUGGGCAACGCGGUCCGCCGCGUGCCUCAAAUCGACCGGCUGGGUCUUCUGUCCCCUAAGCGUUGUGGAAACUAUUCGCUAAAGGGUGUUCGGGAGGCUACGCCGUAAAACAACCCCAUUUCUAAGGUUGACCUCGGAUCAGGUAGGGAUACCCGCUGAACUUAAGCAUAUAAAUAAGCGGAGGA
rnacentral:misc_RNA from 1 species